CAGAGCCUGAGAAAUCAGUCUGGAAUAGGUCUAAGUAAGAAAAACACUAAAGAACACUUAAGAGUGGAACUGAAGUCACCCUGAAGAAAGAAAAAUUCUGCCUGUGGACUGAAGCUUCAAUUUGUGCCUGAGAAGAAGUCCAACCUGCCCUUCGUAAUAACCAACCCUGUGGAUUUUGGACCUGUCUAGUCAGCCUACACAAUCAUAACAUGAAGAGCUCUGGAUCUCCUAGACAACUCACAAAUAUCACACAGAUCCAUCACAUUGACAUGCAGAAUGAAAAGAAUGAGUAAAGUGGCUACAACAAAGAAGGCCUUGGUAAGAUACAGAGAGUGGAAGAAAAACCCUAUGAAGUUUCAUGAACUGGCUGCUUCAAAAUUUUUCAGAUGUAGAGAGAGCCAUACACCCUGUUCCGAGGAUGGUAAAGUCCUAUUUCAGAAAAGAAUAUAGCAGCGAAUACAGGAAUAGUCUAGAUCAAUUAAGAAAAAGAUCAUGUACUCAAGAAGGACAAAACAAUAGAAUAUUUUCCAAGGGCUGCAACAAGCUGGAAGAAAAUGGACGUUACUAAUUUUUACCCAUUGAAUUUGCUGAAACUACCAAGAUUAUUUUCUGUAAGACUGAUGUUAUAUUUCUCCUUAAAAAAUUGAGUACAUAUACUGGUGAAUCUUCUUGGGCCUGAAGAUGUCAUUUGUGAGUCCAUGCUGAUUCAAAUUACAUAAAUUGAUGAAGUGGAAUCAGCAUCAACAGUAUUGAUAAUGCCAGUGAGAAUGUAGCUGAGAAAUGACCUAAUAAAGGCAAGAAGGGGAUUGAAGAGGAUUCAGCAAUUCCAAAUGAAAAAGACUACCAGCUUUUUGUGAUUUCUGUUUUGCUUCAUAUGGGAAGACUAAAUUUUCAAAAUGGAACCAACAACUGUUUUGCCAUGAUCUUUGUCGACAUUUUAUGCUCAUUAAAUCAGGUUUCAGUCUGAAAUAUCAGUUCUUGGUGCACUCACGGCCAAAGAAUGACCAGACAUGCCAAAGU